CGAAGAAGACAUUUGAAAGAUGGCGCAGAUGUGGGAGGAGUCAGAGGUUUGAUUUCGGCGGACCAACCGGGACCAACAGCUACAAUGCAGCUGGGAGGAGAUUAAACCCACAACUGAUGUGAACAAACGAUGCAGCCGAAACACGACCGAGCAGUCCGCUUCACAUCCCGGGCCGACGUUGCAUAAACCACAGCACGAGCAAGAACAAGCCACCGAACAAGAGUACAGCCACCCAAGAGGAGGCCGACACUACACAUGGCUGACACAAUGCAUGAGAUGAGGCCCAUCAACCCUUCUCUGCCUCGCUCAGUAUCCCCACAUGGGACCCAAGCUGCAGCAGGGUGGCCGGGGAUGGGGAUGGGCCUGCUCGCUCUCUUCUGCUGCUGCUUCUCUUCAUGGGCGUGAAAGCUUCCGUCGGAGUACCAUAGACUCUGCUGUAGCAGGAACUACAGCAUACCACUCUUUUAACCCGUUGCUGUGUUACCCUGGAUCUGGCUGAACAGAUUGAUGGGACAACAUGUUUUCAGGAGAAGGGAGAACAGAGAAAAGCUUAUCUUGCUGUAUGGCGCUGUUGUCCUGUCUGGAGCAAUGUCCCCACUGGCAGGGUGAUCUAUGUCUGUUUCAGCACUCUGCACCGAUGCAAUCUCCAGGGACACUCUGAGAGCAACAGGGCCACGACGCUCUGUGAUAAGAUCACUGAGCAAAGCUCUGCUAAGAGAUGCUGUUAAGCCUUCACAUUUUGCGCUUUUACAAUCUGCCCCUUCCCAAACGCUCCCGUCUGAUGCUGGUGUUAACGGGCCACACAGUUUCUGUUUGCAGAAGCGAAGAUUCGCCUGCAUGAUGUUGGAAAUGAGCUAAAAUAUGGAGAAGUGUGACAAUCAUACGCCUUGUAUUAUUUUAUGCUGCCACCAUCUGCCUCCUCUAUCAUCAUUGGUAGCAUUACUUGUUAGACAUAAAAAUGUCGUUAUGGAUCAUUUCAAAAUAGAUAAUGGAAAGCUCUAUUUUUUUGAUUGUGGCUUGUAAUUAGAUUUUUGUUUGGUAACCGAGAGGACAAGA